rnacentral:rRNA from 1 species
CCUACGGGUGGCAGCAGUGGGGAAUAUUGCACAAUGGGGGAAACCCUGAUGCAGCAACGCCGCGUGAGUGAAGCAGUAUUUCGGUAUUUAAAGCUCUAUCAGCAGGGAAGAAAAUGACGGUACCUGAGUCAGAAGCACCGGCUACCUACGUGCCAGCAGCCGCGGUAAUACGGAGGGGGCAAGCGUUAUCCGGAUUUACUGGGGGGAAAGGGCGCGUAGACGGCGAUACAAGUCUGAAGUGAAAGCCCGGGGCUCAACCCCGGGACUGCUUUGGAAACUGUGUUGCUGGAGUGCUGGAGAGGCAAGCGGAAUUCCUAGUGUAGCGGUGAAAUGCGUAGAUAUUAGGAAGAACACCAGUGGCGAAGGCGGCUUGCUGGACAGUAACUGACGUUGAGGCUCGAAAGCGUGGGGAGCAAACAGGAUUAGAUACCCCGGUAGUC